rnacentral:misc_RNA from 1 species
AAGUCGUAACAAGGUUUCCGUAGGUGAACCUGCGGAAGGAUCAUUACCGAGUUCAGGGGUGCCUUUCGGGGCGCCCGACCUCCAGCCCCAUGUCUUACGAACGAUGUUGCCUCGGCGGGCCGCGGUCCCCCUCUCCCCAAACGGUCAGGGAUCACGCCUCUGGCCUUCGGGCCCUUGAGAGCCCGUCGAUGGACCACCAAACUCUAAUAAACAAGUCGUCUGAGAACAAACAAAAAAUACUUCAAAA